rnacentral:rRNA from 1 species
GACGAACGCUGGCGGCGUGCUUAACACAUGCAAGUCGAACGAAGAGCGAUGGAAGCUUGCUUCUAUCAAUCUUAGUGGCGAACGGGUGAGUAACGCGUAAUCAACCUGCCCUUCAGGGGGGGACAACAGUUGGAAACGACUGCUAAUACCGCAUACGAUCUAACCUCGGCAUCGAGGAGAGAUGAAAGGUGGCCUCUACAUGUAAGCUAUCACUGAAGGAGGGGAUUGCGUCUGAUUAGCUAGUUGGAGGGGUAACGGCCCACCAAGGCGAUGAUCAGUAGCCGGUCUGAGAGGCUGAACGGCCACAUUGGGACUGAGACACGGCCCAGACUCCUACGGGAGGCAGCAGUGGGGAAUCUUCCGCAAUGGACGAAAGUCUGACGGAGCAACGCCGCGUGAGUGAUGACGGCCUUCGGGUUGUAAAGCUCUGUUAAUCGGGACGAAAGGCCUUCUUGCGAAUAGUGAGAAGGAUUGACGGUACCGGAAUAGAAAGCCACGGCUAACUACGUG